rnacentral:rRNA from 1 species
AUUAUUUAGCCGGUUAUAUUGUUAGUAUAUAAAUUGUAUGAAACAAAAAAUUAUGGCGGUAUUUUAAAGCUUUUCAGAGGAAUUUGCUCUUUAAUGGAUAAAACACCUAAAUCUUACUAAAUUUAGUUAAACAGUUUGUAUACCACUAUUUAAGUAAUAAUUUGCUAUUAUUACUAAAAUUUAUUAAUUAAAAAAAGUUAAGUCAAGGUGCAGCAUAAAUUUUAGUAUGAAGUGAAUUACAUUUCUUUUAAGAAAAAUUUGUUGAAAUAUAAAAUUUAGGAUUUGAAAGUAAAAUUUUAAUAGAAGGAAAAUUUGAAUUAAGCUCUAAAAUAUGUAC